ensembl:lncRNA
AAAUUUGCAAUGUUUUUAUUAUAUUUGAAAACAUAUCAGUAAAGAUGAUUAUCUGGUGUGAUUAUCUGAUAAUUUAUUUCAUCAUUAGAGAAAAGAAAAUGAUGUGAUAAGUCUUCAGUUUGUCCACUCUGAGCUCAUUCUUUGAGCCUUUCCUGUACAGAGUGUUACUAGGUGGUGCAUAUCCAGACAUUUCUCUGAAUGAAUAUGAAGGUGUGGUUCUUUUUCCUGCUGACAAUAAAUAGUUUGUGAACCAAACCUGGACUUUCCAUGUAGCAAAGAUCACUGACUUCCUGUUGUUGCACAUCAAAAAUAUUUACACAGACAUGCAAAUGACACCAUACACUGACAACAAAAUACAUUACAGUAACUACUCACUUCUGUGUUAUCUCACGAUGCAGAUAUUUCAUGUUUGCUCAAUGGCAAAUAUUUUAAACUACAGCAAAUACAGUAGGUGACGAUGAUGAUGACCUUUUAUUUCUGACAUAAAAAAAACCCCCAACAAACCAAUAUAUCCACAUACAUACAAGUACAUCCAUAUAGAUAUACACAAUUUUAUAUGAAUAGAGCGCUCAAAAAAUUUAGUAUUUUGUGUCAGCAAAGUGUUACAGCAUUUCCGUAUUAAUAUCAAUGUGUCACAUUAUAUUUUGUAUGCUGUUUGUUAGUACUGACCGUUUUCCUCUACAUCAGUACUGUUAUUUUCCUAUUGGUGUGAUAGCACAUUUGCUUCUCUCUCUCUCACUUGCUCUCUCUCUCUCUCUCUCCCUCAUUCUCACUCUGCCUCUCUUUUCUACCACUUCCUCACUACUGUGGCCUAUAUGCAGUUUGAUGCAAGGAAGCGAUCAGCUCAUAUCUACUACAGCGUCAGGCCGAGGGGCCCUUCUCCAGCAACCAGGCACUCUGUGGGAUCGUCAUGGGAAACUGUGCUUCAGGGUAAGUCAUCAUACACGCUCAUACAUUCAUUCACACAUUCCUAUAAGUGGGGACUUUCAUAUAUUACAAAGUUAUUCAUCAGAAUGUGAUGUAUUCUAAAACACUCCUUUAACUGCUGUAAAUGCAGAAAAUAUAUUUAAGGUAUUUGUGAAUUAACUACAGCGAAAAUAUUUAUAAAAAAAAAAAAAGUUUAAAUGAAAUGAUUGUGCAGUUUUUUACAAGAAGUUUCUACAUUUCCUCUAGCAAGGAAACCGUGGUUACGAGAUAAAAAUAGCCCUGGGUUCUGGUUGUCUUCUUACAAGAACUAAGUCAAAUACAAAGAACAUAUUUUGCUGUUGCGUUACAUAUUCAAUAUAUUACCGUCUAAAAUGGCAAGUCUAGAAAUAUGCAAAGCGUGAUGCCCUCGUUGGUUAUUCACUGCCAUAUUCAGUUGGUUAUAAACAGGUGUUGAUUGUAGGUCUAUGUAAAGUGUUUCCUGUUGCAGCACAAGCGCUUAAUUGUUAAAGCUGUCAAGGAAACACUGCUGUAGGCUAAAGCCCACACCUGCUGCCACAGAUAAUAUUUUAUAUGAUUUAUUGAGGUGAAAGACAUAUGACUCAAUAAGCAGUAUUAUCCAAAGGCGUUAUUCUUCUGUGUGUGCUAACAUUGUGGUCCUUGGUAGCUUAUCGUUUCAAUUUGCUUUAUUUUCAGAAAGAAGAAAGAGAAAGGGGAUUCUGAACCAGAUGAUAAGACCGCGAAUGACAAGGUAGACAUCCCCGCAUUAAUUUUGGUUCUAUUUCUGUUGACCAUAAAUCUUCACCGUUAUCAGCUCAUGAUUUUCAUAAGACAUGGGUGUGUUCCACUUUGGAUUUACAUACUUGGAGAAGAUUAACAUGAGGCUUCUGCCGUAAAACAAACUACACAGGAACCCGCGGCAUGUAGACACAUUUCAAAAUAUGCCAGCUGCAGAAACACAGUGUAAAAAGUAGAAUAAAUUAUUUGAUGGGCACAAUACGGGUAGAUGAUCACCCAUCUCACUCUCUCUCUUCCAGCAACCCAACGAAGAUGUAACGUAUGCUUCUAUUAACCACGACAAAGCCAAAGGAGCAAGACAUAACAGACCACCGACAAACCAGAUCACCGACGACGACUGCGACUAUGCUACAGUUAAUAUUCCUGCAGCACUUCAGCCUCAGUCUGAAUCUGAGUGCUCAUCUAAAGACGAAUGUCCAGAUGAUUAUGUACUUAUGGGGUAAACAAACGGAAGUGGAAGCAUUUGUUCGGUCAAGUGAGUUGCAGAAAAUAUCUGAUGCCAGGUAAAGGCAUGCAAGAACUUGUUUGCACUUGAAUUGUCACUUUAUUUUUUAUAUUCUUAGCUUAAUCAAGAGCAGAUCUUGAUUAUCAAAGAAACUGCCAAAAUGAGAAGAUUAACAGCCAACAGCAGCUGAUUGCGGAAGUAUGUACAGUAACCAGAAAGAAGUUUCUCUCCACAAUUGAAGAAACGUUUUAACCAGAACAUGGUGGUGGUGUUUCUUCCUCAAGAAGACUAACUCGCAUUGCAGACGAACCUGCGAGAGAUGACACGAUUCUCGAGACAUCGGGACUUUACUAAAAGAUUUGAAAAAUCAGAAGAAAGCCAACAAGCUUUCAUCAAUUCUGGACCUCUCUGAGAAGGGCAAUGCAUCCAAAUCAGGAAAUACAGAAGUUUGUGGCAUGCAAUUACUACUUACAAGUGAAUCGAUGAAGUCUUAAAGCCACCAUGUGUGACAUUUUAAUGUGAAUUUGAAAAUGUUUGAAAUAGAAGUUAUAUUUUGUUGUGUUUCUUUAGCUUUAGGUUAGGUUAUGUGAUUUAUGUUUUGGCCCCAAGUUCCUAAAACAUCACAGCACAAAUUCAAAACUUGCUCCUCUUUAAAGAGAAGUUUCCCUGAAGAAACUCAGACUUUUUGACCUGUUUGACCUUUUUGAGACUGUUGCCACACCACAACUGAAAGUCUGAGAAUGUCCACCACAUUCUCAGACAUACCUAACAUUUUGUUUGCAUAGGAAAGUCUAGAACUGGUAUUUUGUGGUUUCAUAGCGUGCAUGUGCAACAAUAAUGGCAGAACUGUUUGGGGGUUUUUGAGAGACAAAUUUGUUGAUAUGAAUGCAUCUGCUGUAAGGUGCUGCUCAGGAAGGUUUGAUCAUUAUCUAGAGUCUGUUGCUGGUGGUUGGUGCUGAAACAAUGCCAACUCUUUGCUCCACCAUUAAUCAGUUUCACAACGCCCCAUAUUGAGUUCCCUCAGAAAGCGUUUUCAAACUUAAUACUGCCCAAACCUAAAAUGCAAUCCAAAUGUGCAACCAAAUACGAAAACAGUUUGUGUAAUUUGAUCUAUUGCCACAUUAUAAAACGAUAGUCCAGACCACACAUAGUCAGAAGCAUUUCACAGCAUGUAAGAAGCACUCCACAGGCCCCAAUAUACUACAAACACACUGAAAGGUUGAGAAGUUGUUUGUUUGUUUUUUCUUUGAGAGAUGGUUUUUUGUGCCUUUUAGUUUGAAUCUGUCUAAUCAACAGAAUUAUUUAUACAUUUAACUUCAUGGCAGAGUACUGUUAUUUACCCCAUCUGUUCUUAUUCUGCUGUAUGAAUAAACUGCAUGUC